GCUGGCGUAGCUCAGUCGGUAGAGCAUCUGAUUUGUAAUCAGAGGGUCGUGGGUUCAAAUCCCUCCGCCAGCUCCA
rnacentral:tRNA from 1 species